rnacentral:rRNA from 1 species
UACGAAGGGGGGCUAGCGUUGCUCGGAAUCACUGGGCGUAAAGGGUGCGUAGGCGGGUUUUUAAGUCAGAGGUGAAAUCCUGGAGCUCAACUCCAGAACUGCCUUUGAUACUGAAAGUCUUGAGUAUGGGAGAGGUGAGUGGAACUGCGAGUGUAGAGGUGAAAUUCGUAGAUAUUCGGAGGAACACCAGUGGCGAAGGCGGCUCACUGGUCCAUUACUGACGCUGAGGUGCGAAAGCGUGGGGAGCAAACAGG